CAGAAGUGUUCGCGCCGGAUAACCAAAGGAGACGAAAAUAGAGACUGGGGUUCCAAAUAGAUGAAUAUGAAGAAAGUCAUUUAGAAAGUAUCCAGCUGAGCUUAAAAUAUAGUAAAGUGCCUUAUAUUUUCAACUGCUGAAAAAUAAGUGACUGCUACAUAAAAAACAAUCAUAAAGAUAUUCUCUGAGAACUUUUAUGAAUCUAACAGAACCGUUAAGACGGGUUUUAAAAAUGUCUAGACAUUUUAAGUGAAGUAAACAGUGACGGUGGUAAAACUUAAGAAUAAAAUAAAGCCAAACAAUCCGGCAUCCACCAACUUAGUGAAACAGAAACCAAAUUUCUCAACUGUGGUGAGCUGUAGUGAAGCGCAGCCAAUGAGGUUCUGUUGCACAGGUCUGUCUGUCUGCCUGCAGCCCUUAAGUGCGCGUUCACAGAGGCGGGAAGCUGUGACACACUUUCACAAAUUGGAACAGCGAGAAUAUUUUUUUCACAUAGGAACUGAUGCUUUCACAUCAUUACAGACAAAAUGACUAGUGGAUAUAUAUUUUUAACGGUCCUUUGUCCAGCUUUGGCCUUCAACAUUUUUACCAAACCAGAGGAUCACUUCGAGAACAAAGAUGAGAAGCAUUUUGGACAAACACUUAUACCUUACGAAAAUGGAAUUUUGGUUCCCUCUUCAAAUACAUCAGCCCGAAAACUGCACCACUGUAAAUUGAAGGAGGGCUGUGCUGAAGUGAAUAUCAAAGGUAGAGUCUCUCUGCCAGGCUGUUCAUAG
rnacentral:lncRNA from 1 species